CACCCAGUGUCAGCUCUGCUUCUCUCUGCCCUGCCUGAACCCAGUGCUUUCUUCAUUUGUUUGAGAGGGAAACAUGUGGCGUGUGUCUUCACUGUUGGCAUCCUGAGAAUGACCAUCCUGGGUGGGAAUGCUGCUGAUCUGCUCGUUCUGAAAUGUCAGAGAUAUUGAUUGCAGCUCUUGCAUUUUAAGAGCCUCUCUCAUAUGGAGACCCCAUCUGUGCCACAUGCCUGGGAGUGAGAAAGCAGUGUGGAAGACUUGCAGCUUUUUGCUGUCCUGGUGUUAUGAACAAGUUUUCUGGUUUAAACUAUAAGUUCAGAGAAAAUAGAAUUUUCUAGCCUGUGAAUGUUGGACAUUCUGUCAGUAUCCAUUGAAGAAGAUUGUGAAUUGCUUCUGUUGGGAUGACUGGCAUUAAGUUCUUAGUACUGCUGACAGCCUGCAAUUCUUUUUACUGACUUUUGAACAAAUUUAUGGACAUUAUUAUACACUAACUUUCAUGUUAAUGCAAUAACAAACUAAAUAAUUGAAUAUAAAUUUUCAAGUAGAAUCUCGUACUUAAAAGUUAAAUCUCAGAAAGUUCUAUAUUUAUAGUUAUUCAAUGUUCAUUUGAUUGUAGCAGAGUGUUGUACUUGAAUUCAUUUUGAAACAAGUUUUUAAAUAUGAGGUGACUUCCUAGAUUUUCGCAUACUUGAACUGGAUUGUGCUAAUAUUGUGUUAUUAAUGGCCCUCUGGAUAAAUUGCAUGUGGCUUAUGCUUUUACUCUCUGACUAGUGUAUUUUGAAUUAUAUUAUCAUCUGUGCUUUACCAGAUUAUUUUUAUGCUUUGGCUAAUUGUAUUCCUACAUAGUG